GAUGAACGCUAGCUACAGGCUUAACGCAUGCAAGUCGAGGGGAAACGAUAGAGAAAGCUUGCUUUUUCUAGGCGUCGACCGGCGCACGGGUGAGUAACGCGUAUCCAACCUGCCCACCACUUGGGGAUAACCUUGCGAAAGUAAGACUAAUACCCAAUGACGUCUCUAGAAGACAUCUGAAAGGGAUUAAAGGUUUAUCGGUGAUGGAUGGGAAUGCGUCUGAUUAGCUUGUUGGCGGGGUAACGGCCCACCAAGGCUACGAUCAGUAGGGGUUCCGAGAGGAAGGUCCCUCACAUUGGAACUGAGACACGGUCCAA
rnacentral:rRNA from 1 species